UAUGCUAUGCCUAUACCCAAGGCGGGAGAGGCGUGGACAGCAUGCCGCGGCUGCUUUAGAUAAAUUAAUUAAUCAGCAUAAAGCUACUGCCAAUUUUUAUUCUGGUAGAUAAGUAAGGGAAAGAUUUUGUCUAAGAAAUCUAGAUAUCAAUAACUAAUCUUAGAUCAUCAAUCUACAAUAUAAUUUCUUUAUCUUGGAUUCAUUUAAAACAACAUUUUCUUCUGAAUAUCAUAUCUUUCUCAACAAGGAGACCAAGUUGCAUACUAGAACCAAUCAAUCUCUCGCACUCAUCUCAUUUACCACUAUUGUUUAUUUGCCUAGUAUCACGGGCGGUGCUACCUUAAAGAAUAAAGAUUAAUAUAUAUAUAUAUAUAUAUAUAUUCAUAUCUACAUAAAAUCCUGAUGCUUAGCAGUGAUAAAACCAGGUUCUAGAAAUAUUCUAAAGCAAACCCAAAUUUUCAAAAUAUUUGGUUUGAUCCAACGGAUAAAGAUUCUUGGAUUCUUGGAUUUUCAUGCUAAGAAGAGAUACUGUUAAAUUGCCUGAAUCAAACAUGUUAAUAUGACAACAAAUAAAUUUAUUGAGGAAAUAUAUUUUGUCAACAAGCAGCAAAAUAAUAUACAAAAAUAAAAAAAUAUAAAAAUUUACGUGAUUUGAGCUUACUUUUACUUUCAUAGACGUUAGUGACGAGAAAAUUUCAUUAUAAUCAACAAGAUGAAAUUAAAAAACAACAAGUUUUGAUAUCUAAACUUACUUGGCUAGCUAUACACCUUCAACAUGAGAGCAAUGGCUCUUCAAACUACCUAAACUCUCUCGACUCUUUUUCUAACUUUGUUUGGCCGUAAAGAACCUGAAUGACAAAAGCUCACAUUUUACCUUUACAGUUAACCUUUUUUUGCACUUCCAAAACAAGGCAUAAAUAAACAAGAAACAUGGGCAAAGAAAGGUACGUAGAGGUAAAAAGGUCAAGCGAAUGCAAAACAAGUAAAAAACCAUGGCAAGGAAAGUCAAAGGGGUGAGCAACAAAAAGGGGGCGAGCGGACAUGGGUCUGGCUUUGGCUUUGAAUCUUCAGUCUUUCAUCCAACAAAUUUCCAUUUUGUCUUAAAAUUCUUCGGGCCAAACUUAUACUGAGUUUCUCAAAAUCGAAUUGCUUCUGCCACAAGUGCUUCUUAGGGCAUUCACUGAUUGCAAAUACCAACCAAGUCCCAGCAAUGCUUGAACUUUAAGCAGGGAUAAUCUCUGUUAACAUGUCCGC
rnacentral:lncRNA from 1 species